AUAUUCAAACUUCAAAUAUAACAGCUAGUUAGUCAAGAACUCCAAAACGUGAGACAACUCCCACUUGCAAGACACCAUUCUAUAAAUACCCAAAUCCUCCUGUGAGUUUCUAAAUCAGAACAAACAAAGAAAUCAAAAGAUGGCAUCUGAAUGCACUGGUAAAAGCCAAUGGCCGGAGCUGUUGAAUGUAACGGGAGAGGUUGCAAAAACGACGAUUGAGAGAGAGAAUCCAUCAGUAACUGCCUACAUCAUUGAUGAGGAUGCGAUCGUCAUCCAGGACUUUCGCUGUGAUAGGGUUUGGGUUCGGGUUAACACCUAUGGUGUAGUUACGAGGAUUCCAAGCAUUGGGUAGAACAUGGAACAUGGAAUUGAAAAACUCGUAUGAACUAUUGUAUUACUAUUUGAAAAGGAUGACCUCACAUGAGGCUUCUUCACUCAUGUAUGCUUUAUAAAUAAAAUCCUUCUAUUCUUCAUUAUUCAAA